rnacentral:rRNA from 1 species
GACGAACGCUGGCGGCGUGCCUAAUACAUGCAAGUCGAACGAGAGCGACCGGUGCUUGCACUGGUCAAUCUAGUGGCGAACGGGUGAGUAACACGUGGGUAACCUGCCCAUCAGAGGGGGAUAACAUCCGGAAACGGAUGCUAAAACCGCAUAGGUCUUCGAGCCGCAUGGCUUGAAGAGGAAAAGAGGCGCAAGCUUCUGCUGAUGGAUGGACCCGCGGUGCAUGAGCUAGUUGGUGAGGUAACGGCUCACCAAGGCCGUGAUGCAUAGCCGACCUGAGGGGGUGAUCGGCCACAUUGGGACUGAGACACGGCCCAAACUCCUACGGGAGGCAGCAGUAGGGAAUCUUCCGCAAUGGACGCAAGUCUGACGGAGCAACGCCGCGUGAGUGAAGAAGGUUUUCGGAUCGUAAAACUCUGUUGUUAGAGAAGAACAAGUGCUAGAGUAACUGUUAGCGCCUUGACGGUAUCUAACCAGAAAGCCACGGCUAACUACGUG